CGUUACAGUAGUGACCAAUGUAAACAGAAGGAACACUUGCUUCUAGGCACGGCCGCCCUUCGACCAUAGGUCUAUGGUCGAAACGGCCGCCUCUAAUACAGGCGGCCGUGUUCUAGGGGACGCCGUGGAAUUGGGUUUCUGAUUGGCCAUGUCGUCUCCCACACCAGCCAAUACAGAUCAUUGUUACUUUCUGAAACGCGCUGUUCUUUGAACGAGGCGAUACGUUGUGUGGCUUACUCGUCAUAUUAUUUCAGUGUUGACGUUAAGUGUUCUAGGCCUAUGUCUAUAAUUGCAGAUUCCAACACGUCUUUUGUGUGCGGUAAAUCAUUUCAGCUUCAAAAAAAGACUUUAUACGCGCACAUCAGGUAAAUGCAUGAUGUAGAACCAAAUACAGAAUGUACGAUUAAGUGCACACAAGACGACUGCAGCUAUUCCUUCAAUACAUUGGCUAGUUUGAGAGCACUUGUGGAGAAAAAGCAAAAGGUCAACUCCCCUCCCACAUCGGAGCUCAGAUUCUCGGCUGCAGAGUCAACGCUGCAGAUGACAUCCUGUUGUUUGCAUCAACUCCGAGGGGCCUGCAGUCCCUCAUAGAUGCAGCUGUCACAGCCCUCGCACACCUGGGGCUGCACAUCAAUGCCUGGAAGUGUUUCACCCCAUCCUUGUUCACGUCAGGCUGUGAUAAGAAGGUGAAGGUGGACGGCGAUGUCACCUUAAAGGCAGGCAACACCACCGUGCCUGCCUUGUGCGUGAGUGAAACCUUCUGGUAGCUGGGGCUGCAGUUCUCCACCUCGGGUUGCUGCAUCUUCAACCCCCGAUGCCACCUGGGGGAACAGGUGGAUGUCAUCUCCCGAGCUCCGCUUAAGCUGCAACAGCCCCUCUACGCUUUCGUCAACGUACUUCUCCCUGGUCUGUGCCAUGGGCUGGCCCUCAGCCGCCCCCUGGGUGGGUGCCCUGAAGCCGGUGGACAUCUCCAUCAGGGCCACCGUCAGGAGAUGGUUCCACCUCCCGGCGAACACUCCCCUGGGCUACUUCCACACUCCUGUUGCCCAGGGGGGUCUUGGCAUCCCAUCAUGCCGCUGGAUGGGGCCAACCCUCCGACGUUCCCGUCUCCUGGCGCUGAAGAAGAUAGGGCCAGCCUUUGACGGUGCAGGCCUGGACAAGGUGCAACAAGAGAUCAAGAUGCUGGAGCAGCACCUGAUGUGGGAGAGCCACCUCCUCAAACCAUUGACGCAGAUUGGAGAGAUGUGGGCCGUGUGCCUGCAUAUUGCCAUUGACGGUGCGGCGCUGUCUUCAUCCGCCACAGUCAGAGGGCAGCAUCAGUGGUUCGCCGACACCAAUCGACUACUAUCUGGGUGUGACUACAUCAACGCCCUCCGCACCCACAUCAACGCCUUCCCAUCGAGGGCAUGCAGUUGGGGGCGUGAGGCGGACACCAGAUGUCGCGCGGGCUGCCAGGCCAUCGAGACUGCCAACCACUUCCUGCAGGCUUGCUACAGGACGCAUGGGUCCCGAGUCAAGUGACAUGACGAUAUCGUGCGGUAUGUCGCUCGUGGGCUUGUGCAGAGGGGCUUCAAAGUCUCCAUGGAGCCCCACCUUCGAACGCCUGAGUGACUAUGCAAGCCUGACGUGGUGGCGGUAAAAGACGGCAUCGCCCGCGUGAUAGACGCCCAGGUAGUCGGCGACUCUCUUUGGCUCGACUGGUGUCACACACAGAAGGUGACCUACUAUGACACACCGUCUGUCCGGUGUGCAGUCUCCAACCUGCAAUGAGACAUCCAGGAGGCGACAGUGUCCACCGCAACGUUGAGCUGGAGGGGGACGUGGUCUUCUGCGUUGGCUAAUGACCUCAUCAACCUGGGGUUGCGACCCCGAGAGCUGGUGGUUCUAAGUGCCAAAAUCCUGCAGAGCUGCAUGACAGCGAAUAGGCUGAUGCCACGUGCCGGCGUCGGAUAGUGUGCUGGAUAUCUUUAAUUCCCUGACUCCUGGGGACCAUCACAGGAGGAAUAUUGUAUUUAUUCCACUUUCUCUUCCUCUAUCAUUUAUAUGUUGUUUCUUCCUUUCCUACUGGUGUAUCGUCCAUGUAAGUCCCCGCUUAGAUCGCGGACAUGGCGAGGUAUCGAACACCUAUGUGUACCAUAUUUUACCACUAUGUAUAUAUGUAUUGUAUGUUAUUGUUCGGAAUAAAGAUGGCUUCAUAGCUAGCAGAUUAGGUCCUAUGUUUGUAAUACAGAAUACAAAAAAGAACUAGGAAUGAAUGUCUAAUACAUUAAAACAUAUGGUAUCACUCUGAAA